rnacentral:rRNA from 1 species
UACAGAGGGUGCGAGCGUUGUUCGGAAUUAUUGGGCGUAAAGGGCGCGUAGGCGGUGCGGUAAGUCACCUGUGAAAUCUCCUGGCUCAACUGGGGAGGGUCAUUCGAAACUGGUCGACUCGAAGGCAGGAGAGGGUAGUGGAAUUCCCGGUGUAGUGGUGAAAUGCGUAGAUAUCGGGAGGAACACCAGUGGCGAAGGCGACUACCUGGCCUGUUCUUGACGCUGAGGCGCGAAAGCUAGGGGAGCAAACGGG